rnacentral:rRNA from 1 species
CUAGGAAUAUUGGGCAAUGGGCGCAAGCCUGACCCAGCAACACCGCGUGGAGGACGAAGGCCUUCGGGUCGUAAACUCCUUUUUGGGGGGAUGAGAAAGGACAGUACCCCCAGAAUAAGGCCCGGCUAACUACGUGCCAGCAGCCGCGGUAAUACGUAGGGGCCAAGCGUUUAUCCGGAUUUACUGGGCGUAAAGCGCAUGUAGGUGGUCUAUUAAGUCGGACGUGAAAGCUCCUGGCUCAACUAGGUGAGGUCGUUCGAACUAAAAGACUGGAGGAUGGUAGAGGAGAGCGGAAUUCCAGGUGUAGCGGUGAAAUGCGUAGAUAUCUGGAGGAACACCAAGUGGCGAAAGCGGCUCUCUGGCCCAUUCCUGACACUGAGAUGCGAAAGCCAGGGGGAGAGAACGGGGAUUAGAAACCCCGGUAUUCCUGGCCGUAAACGAUGUCAACUAGGCGUAGGAGGUUAUUGACCCCUUCUGUGCUGUAGCUAACGCGUUAAGUUGACCGCUGGGGACUACGGCCGCAA